CAGAUGGUGACGGUGUGGAGAGACGGUGGUGUUUCCUCAGAAGAACUAGCAGAGUCACAAAGGGCACGAGUCCAUCUCACCACCUUGACUUGCUGACUGAUGCUCGUCUGCACUGCACAGAGGAAAUCAACUGACCGAGGAGUGUUUCUGAGUGAGGGAGAGAGGAGUCAUCAUCCAGGUAAAGUGACGUGGAUCAGUGGAUACACUUGUCUCCCCUUUAAAGAAGAUACUCUUAGAGAGAGACGAUCCGAGUCAUCCUUAAAUAUGGGCAGGAUAUCAGUCUUGGACUGUCUAACCUGCCGGAGCAGCACUGAAUGAUCACCACACAUGAGCAUGUUCCUGCAACAUUCAGCAUCUGAUCUGCCAUCUGUGUGCUUCUGCUUUUGUGUCAAAUGUCAAACAGCUGGAGAGGAAACUACACCAGUGUACUGGGAUGUUUCACCAACACGUGCCAGACGCUGUAACUUCAUGGUGACAUCACCAGAGACAGCCCCGCCCACCUCAGGACCUCGCCAUUGAUCAUGAUGAUUAUAAUAAUGACAGCGAGCGGAACUAAGACUGUAAAAAUCCACGACCAGAAUGUUUAGAUGCUUUCUAAUUAUUAAUGAAUACUGAGAGCCUCUUUCUGUGUUUUGUCUGUUUUGGUUUUUUUUACCUCAUUUGUUACUAACAAAGUUCAACAAACUCACACAGUUUACAUUCUGUAUGUUUCCAUCUUUACCAGCCACACUCUACCCGCAAUUAAGCAAAUAAUCCUUAGAAAUCGUUGUUUUUCUCUUUUGUAAUUGAUGAUAAUUCAGUGAAUAUACUGCGCUGCUUCCUUUUAUUGCGUCACACAUUGCUUUAAGUUUUUCAGUGUCCAGUUAUUUUUUACUGCUGUUUGAAUUCUCUGUAUGUUUGACCCUGUAGACUGUUUAAUGGACUGCUUGUCUUCCUGUUUGUAACCGCCGCCUGUUUUUGACUAAAGAUUUGGAUUUCUGACUGUA